rnacentral:rRNA from 1 species
AUUGAACGCUGGCGGCAUGCCUUACACAUGCAAGUCGAACGGUAACAGGUCUUCGGAUGCUGACGAGUGGCGAACGGGUGAGUAAUACAUCGGAACGUGCCCGAUCGUGGGGGAUAACGGAGCGAAAGCUUUGCUAAUACCGCAUACGAUCUACGGAUGAAAGCAGGGGACCGCAAGGCCUUGCGCGAACGGAGCGGCCGAUGGCAGAUUAGGGAGUUGGUGGGAUAAAAGCUUACCAAGCCGACGAUCUGUAGCUGGUCUGAGAGGACGACCAGCCACACUGGGACUGAGACACGGCCCAGACUCUUACGGGAGGCAGCAGUGGGGAAUUUUGGACAAUGGGCGCAAGCCUGAUCCAGCAAUGCCGCGUGCAGGAUGAAGGCCUUCGGGUUGUAAACUGCUUUUGUACGGAACGAAAAGGCUCUGGUUAAUACCUGGGGCUCAUGACGGUACCGUAAGAAUAAGCACCGGCUAACUACGUGCCAGCAGCCGCAGUAAGAC